rnacentral:rRNA from 1 species
UCAUCGGCCUCAGAUUGGUAGGGACUACCCCGUUGAACUUAAGCAUAUCA